UUGCUUUGUAUGUGAAUUCAUUCUUGUGAUACACUGACACUCCUCUUCUGUCUUUUUCCUUAGGAAUUUGAACUCCUUUAUUUUUCAUUAAGUAGUGCAAGAAUAUUUUUCAGAGCAGAUAAAACUGCAGCAGAAGAAAACCAGGAAAAGAAAGAGAGAGAAGAAGAAUCUGUUAAAGCAAGCAAUGGAGAUCUUUCCAACUCUACGUCUGCAGAUCCUGUUGUGAAAUGAUGUGGCUGGUAUGGGGUGAUAAUUACUUACUCGAAUAACUAUCACUAAUGCUCUGGAGGGGUAGAAGCUCUUCGUUUGACUUUUUCUAUUAAAGCUAACAGAAAAUGUACAAUAGUAUACUAGCAUCCAGUUGGGCUAGGUCUGUGUUUGUUUGUUUUUCCUAUAGAAACUUCUAUUUUUCAGGAGUUAUUUAUUUACGUUACUAACAGCACUUUCUCUAGAUUAAAAAUAACU
rnacentral:lncRNA from 1 species